ACGACUUGAAUCGGGUCGUUCACCAAAUUGGAAAGAUAUAGAAAAGAUUAACAUGAUUCCUAUGCAAGGAUGACUCAGAUUGUUGUAUGAACAACACGUGCCUUGU